AUACUUACCUGGAUGGGGUCAAUGGGUGGUCAAGGUGGCCCAUGUUCUAGGGUUGUGACCUCCAUUGCACUUAUGAGGGGUGCUUCUCUAAGGUCUAUCCAAGUGGUGGAGCCUACAUCAUAAUUUGUGCCAGUCGGGGCCAGCGUUCGCGCGGCCCCUUC